rnacentral:lncRNA from 1 species
UUUAUGUGCCGUGUUUCUUUCAAUCCAAGAUAUGAACGAACAAUGACCUUCCCCCAGCUGAUUUAAGAUUAAAUGUAUGUUGAAAGCAUCUCCGUGGUAUUAAUCAAACCUGUUAUGUAAACAGACCCAGAACGACUGAUGAAGUAAAUUCAAUAAUAAUAAUAAUAAUAAUAAUAAUAAUAAUAAUAAUAAUAAUAAUAAUAAUAAUAAUAAUAAUAAUAAUAAUAAUAAUAAUA